rnacentral:rRNA from 1 species
UCUGGCUCAGGAUGAACGCUGGCGGCGUGCCUAAUACAUGCAAGUCGAGCGAAUGGAUUAAGAGCUUGCUCUUAUGAAGUUAGCGGCGGACGGGUGAGUAACACGUGGGUAACCUGCCCAUAAGACUGGGAUAACUCCGGGAAACCGGGGCUAAUACCGGAUAACAUUUUGAACCGCAUGGUUCGAAAUUGAAAGGCGGCUUCGGCUGUCACUUAUGGAUGGACCCGCGUCGCAUUAGCUAGUUGGUGAGGUAACGGCUCACCAAGGCAACGAUGCGUAGCCGACCUGAGAGGGUGAUCGGCCACACUGGGACUGAGACACGGCCCAGACUCCUACGGGAGGCAGCAGUAGGGAAUCUUCCGCAAUGGACGAAAGUCUGACGGAGCAACGCCGCGUGAGUGAUGAAGGCUUUCGGGUCGUAAAACUCUGUUGUUAGGGAAGAACAAGUGCUAGUUGAAUAAGCUGGCACCUUGACGGUACCUAACCAGAAAGCCACGGCUAACUACGUGCCAGCAGCCGCGGUAAUACGUAGGUGGCAAGCGUUAUCCGGAAUUAUUGGGCGUAAAGCGCGCGCAGGUGGUUUCUUAAGUCUGAUGUGAAAGCCCACGGCUCAACCGUGGAGGGUCAUUGGAAACUGGGAGACUUGAGUGCAGAAGAGGAAAGUGGAAUUCCAUGUGUAGCGGUGAAAUGCGUAGAGAUAUGGAGGAACACCAGUGGCGAAGGCGACUUUCUGGUCUGUAACUGACACUGAGGCGCGAAAGCGUGGGGAGCAAACUGGAUUAGAUACCCUGGUAGUCCACGCCGUAAACGAUGAGUGCUAAGUGUUAGAGGGUUUCCGCCCUUUAGUGCUGAAGUUAACGCAUUAAGCA